CAGCAGCCACGGGAAUACAGAGGGUGCGAGCGUUAAUCGGAUUUACUGGGCGUAAAGCGUGCGUAGGCGGCUUCUUAAGUCGGAUGUGAAAUCCCUGAGCUUAACUUAGGAAUUGCAUUCGAUACUGGGAAGCUAGAGUAUGGGAGAGGAUGGUAGAAUUCCAGGUGUAGCGGUGAAAUGCGUAGAGAUCUGGAGGAAUACCGAUGGCGAAGGCAGCCAUCUGGCCUAAUACUGACGCUGAGGUACGAAAGCAUGGGGAGCAAACAGGAUUAGAUACCCCUGUAGUCCCUGUCUCUUAUAC
rnacentral:rRNA from 1 species